rnacentral:lncRNA from 1 species
AAUGAAAGAUAACGGAUUGGGCUUCGGUCCAAAUGGAAAAGGAUUGAUAAAAUGAAAAUACAAGCUGCAUAAGAAUGAAAAUUCUUGUUUGACCAGACUGGGCCUAAGCCCAAUAGAAGGAAGGGUGGCAGAAAGGAAAUGGGGGUUGCGAAUGGGAGAGGUUUUAUUCGGCCUGAUAUGGGCCCAAAAAUGACGAAAAACAAAAAAAACAGGGGCAGUGGGAAUAAACAAAAAAAAUAGAAUAAUAAAAAAAACAUGAAAUAAAAAAACUAAACGACAAAAUGGGCCUCAACCCAAUUUUAGAAACUUCUUAGGGUUUCCCUACCCCCCAAACCUUGAGAGAUGACUUCAUUCGAACCAAACACCCCAACUUCGAUCUUUUUCUUCUCCCGUGAACACCAUCAUCGCCGAAUCUCACCAUCACCAUCUCAGCCACUGUAACUGGCCAUCGGAGGUACUAUCAGAGACGCAGGUCACUACCAAAAACGUCAUCGACGACCACCAUUCCGAUCAACAAAACCAAUGCACCAUCGCGCCAUAAAAACCCUUACGCGUGCAAUCCGCUCCGGUCAGCUUUCAUGCCACCGGAGUCACAACUACCCUCUAUUAUCACCAUCAACAGCCUCGCCGGUGACGACAAACAUCACCAGGACAACGUCUGAUUGCAACACCAUGACCCUGCUCCAAGUUCGUCUCCGCAAGCGAGAACGAAACGUUCUCACUCCUGCAACUCAUCCCC